UCCGAACACAGAAGUUAAGCUCUUUAGCGCCGAUGGUACUUGGUGGGAAGCUGCCUGGGAGAGUAGGACGUAGCCACGUA
rnacentral:rRNA from 1 species